UUUAUUACGAGAGUUUGAUCCUGGCUCAGGAUGAACGCUGGCGGCGUGCCUAACACAUGCAAGUCGAGCGAAGCGCUUAAGUCAG
rnacentral:rRNA from 1 species